AUACACGUGGCUUUACCUCCACUCCUAAGGAGCAGGUGAAGAGUUGGAAGGAGCUGAAGUUGGCAUCUUCCAUUGCUCCCACAUGAGUCCGCAGCAUCCCAGGCUCUGACCAUGAGACUUCUGCACAGUGAUCCUACAUUUGCCCAGCAGUUGCUGAGCUCUGACCUCGGCUGUGAUGUACCACACAGUGCCUGGCCCCCAGGAUGCUACCAAGCAUUGGAUUCAUAGCUCCGGAGCCAUACAGAUGGGGUACCACGUGGCUUGAACCCAACUCUUGUUGAGAUCAAUGGACAGAAAUGAAGAGAGCAGAGUUGACCCACGCCUGGACUUCAUCUGGAAUUGCUGCAGAUGUGGCCAUAACAUCUACAGCUCCUUGGGUCCUGACAUUUGCAAGUCCUUCCAGCAACUUGGGUAAAGAACGUGCGAUUCUCCCACGGCAGCAGAGGCCCAGCGAGGGACAGGGAGUGGGUUCAAAUCCCUGAGCAGAAUUUAACUUCUGCAGCAAAAAUUCCCAAUUUUGCCUGAAUCCAGGCAGGACCAAGGGAGAUAAUUCAGACCGCUACAAAUUCCCCUCUGAAGCCCUUUCUGCAAAGCUGCUUUCAUUUCCAAGCUACUCCGGAGAUACGAAAAUACCAGGAGGAUAUUUGCAGCCUAACAUGAAAGCACCAUUUUAUUUUUUUUUUUUCGAGCAGAGAAAAAUUAUUUGAUUUCUUUUUUUUUUUUUUUCUUCUUUUUUUAUGCGCUGCCCAAAGAAUGUGCCAUCAUUUAGACCUCAUGCCAAACCCCUCUUAUUUACAUGUACUCCCCGGAGGGGGCUGACUAAACCUUCCAUUACUCAACAGCAUCUUGGCUCUGGCACCAAAUCACUGCAAAGUUGGAAGGACUUAAAAUAUAUGAGGAUAUAUGGAAAGGGCUGAGAAGGUGCCACCAACUGAAGGCGUCUUUGACUUCAACCCUAAUCUUACUGAAUAGAGUAAUGCAAAUAAAUUUUGCUGUUUCAAGU
rnacentral:lncRNA from 7 species